UACGGAGGGUGCGAGCGUUGUCCGGAAUCAUUGGGCGUAAAGGGCGCGUAGGUGGCCCGGUCAGUCUUUGGUGAAAGCGCGGGGCUCAACCCUGCGUCGGCCAGGGAUACUGCCGCGGCUCGAGCACUGUAGAGGCAGGCGGAAUUCCGGGUGUAGCGGUGGAAUGCGUAGAGAUCCGGAAGAACACCGGUGGCGAAGGCGGCCUGCUGGGCAGUUUGGCUGACACUGAGGCGCGACAGCGUGGGGAGCAAACAGA
rnacentral:rRNA from 1 species